rnacentral:rRNA from 1 species
UACGUAGGGUGCGAGCGUUAAUCGGAAUUACUGGGCGUAAAGCGUGCGCAGGCGGUUUUGUAAGACCGAUGUGAAAUCCCCGGGCUCAACCUGGGAACUGCAUUGGUGACUGCAAGGCUGGAGUGCGGCAGAGGGGGAUGGAAUUCCGCGUGUAGCAGUGAAAUGCGUAGAUAUGCGGAGGAACACCGAUGGCGAAGGCAAUCCCCUGGGCCUGCACUGACGCUCAUGCACGAAAGCGUUGGGAGCAAACAGG